AGGAGCCCAUUUAAGCCUUCCUGGUGGGUAUUAUUCCCUCUCCUGAGCUGUGUUGGGGGCCUACCAGCUCACAGCUUGGCUAUAGACCCUGUUGAUCCCAGCCCACGGACUGAUUUCUCAACUUGACAUCACCAUGGCUUUAUGACCUGGGUUCCUGGCUGGACCUAGCCACCAUCUCCAGGACUGCCUACUAUGCUCAGAGCAGAGUAAAUGUUGUGUCGAAGUCAAUUGAAAAACUGUCAUGGUUUGGCUGCGAGCUUUGCCAGUGACCCCACUUGUCCAUGAAAACACUGUGAACCUUGAACACCGAGCUGCUUCUCCUCACCAGGGGCUCCAGACUUGGAAGCUAGCAAGGUUAAUGACAAUAUGGAACGGGUACUCUAAAGAGAGCUGGAAAGCAACACGAAGUCUAGACUGGAAAACAAUAACCCCCACACAGCACAAUCCUGCAAACCUGAAGUAAAAUUCACCGAGGAAUUGUCUUAUGAAUGAGAGGAAAGAAACAGCACCCCGUGGCCUCACUCCUCAGUACGAGUACUGGAGGCAAGCAUUGGAUGGUAACCAUCAAGCAGGUUGAGAGCCAACCUCACGCAGGUUGAGGAGGAGGAGGAUCAGGUUUUCCUCUCCCAUAGAGAGGGAAGGGGUCCUUCAGGCUCUCUGCAGCCACCACCUCGAACCCCAAGCUGCGGUCCCUCUGCCCGCGUGCACGCCCUUGUUUUAUUUAGCCACACAUCUUCCUUUUGCUCUUCAAAGGCCCAGCACCUACUGCUGCAGCUGAGCUGCAUCCCCCAGCUUCUGGAGGAUUUGGAGCACAUGCAGGACACCUCUACGCUUGACCUCAGUACAUGAACGUGCAGGAGAAAUUUCCCCUCCACAUUUAUUAUCCCUGGUACCACAGUCAACAGUUGGCUGGGUAACUGAGUAAAUUUACUUGAACUCUCUAUUUCCCAGGUCUUAUUUUUCUAAGGAAGGCAAUAAAUCAAUGACAGGAAAAGUACUCACCAGGCAGAAAUUGGGUAGCUCCAUGACUUAAUCAGCACUGAUUAAUGCCGGUCGGGAAUCUAUCUCUGCAUUUCUUUGGAAUACAUUUUGGAAAGUCUACUAGUUCCUAACAGAGUUUUGCAUGAAAAAUUAAAUUACUUUCAUAUUCCUGCCUCUCCUU